AGAGUUUGAUCCUGGCUCAGUACGAACGCUGGCGGCGCGCCUAACACAUGCAAGUCGAACGGGAGAUUUCCUUCGGGAAAGAUCUAGUGGCGGACGGGUGAGUAACACGUGAGCAAUCUGCCUUUGGGAGGGGGAUAACGUCUGGAAACGGACGCUAAUACCGCAUAAUGUAUGGUUUUCGCAUGGGAAGCAUACCAAAGAUUUAUCGCCCAAAGAUGAGCUCGCGGCUGAUUAGCUAGUUGGCGGGGUAAAGGCCCACCAAGGCGACGAUCAGUAGCCGGACUGAGAGGUUGAACGGCCACAUUGGGACUGAGACACGGCCCAGACUCCUACGGGAGGCAGCAGUGGGGGAUAUUGCACAAUGGGCGAAAGCCUGAUGCAGCGACGCCGCGUGAGGGAAGACGGUUUUCGGAUUGUAAACCUCUGUCGAGGGGGACGAAGGAAGUGACGGUACCCCUUGAGGAAGCCACGGCUAACUACGUGCCAGCAGCCGCGGUAAUACGUAGGUGGCAAGCGUUGUCCGGAAUUACUGGGUGUAAAGGGAGCGUAGGCGGGAAUGCAAGUUGAAUGUAUAAACGGUCGGCUCAACCGGCCGAAGCGUUCAAAACUGCAGUUCUUGAGUGGAGUAGAGGCAGGCGGAAUUCCUAGUGUAGCGGUGAAAUGCGUAGAUAUUAGGAGGAACACCAGUGGCGAAGGCGGCCUGCUGGGCUUUAACUGACGCUGAGGCUCGAAAGCGUGGGUAGCAAACAGGAUUAGAUACCCUGGUAGUCCACGCUGUAAACGAUGAGACUAGGUGUGGGGGGACUGACCCCUUCCGUGCCGGAGUUAACACAAUAAGUCAUCCACCUGGGGAGUACGGCCGCAAGGCUGAAACUCAAAGGAAUUGACGGGGGCCCGCACAAGCAGUGGAGUAUGUGGUUUAAUCCGAAGCAACGCGGAGAACCUUACCAGGUCUUGACAUCCCGCGAAUAGCCUAGAGAUAGGUGAAGCUCUUCGGAGCGCGGAGACAGGUGGUGCAUGGUUGUCGUCAGCUCGUGUCGUGAGAUGUUGGGUUAAGUCCCGCAACGAGCGCAACCCUUAUUGCUAGUUGCUACGCAAGAGCACUCUAGUGAGACUGCCGUUGACAAAACGGAGGAAGGUGGGGAUGAUGUCAAAUCAUCAUGCCCCUUAUGACCUGGGCUACACACGUACUACAAUGGCGUCGAACAGAGGGAAGCAAAACCGCGAGGUGGAGCGAAUCCCCAAAAGACGUCUCAGUUCGGAUUGCAGGCUGCAACCCGCCUGCAUGAAGUCGGAAUUGCUAGUAAUCGCGGAUCAGCAUGCCGCGGUGAAUACGUUCCCGGGCCUUGUACACACCGCCCGUCACACCAUGAGAGCCGGUAACACCCGAAGUCAGGAGCCUAACCGCAAGGAGGGCACUGCCGAAGGUGGGAUUGGUGAUUAGGGUGAAGUCGUAACAAGGUAACCAA
rnacentral:rRNA from 1 species